rnacentral:rRNA from 1 species
GAUGAACGCUGGCGGCGUGCCUAAUACAUGCAAGUCGAGCGAACAGAUAAGGAGCUUGCUCCUUUUACGUUAGCGGCGGACGGGUGAGUAACACGUGGGUAACCUACCUAUAAGACUGGGAUAACUUCGGGAAACCGGAGCUAAUACCGGAUAACAUUUGGAACCGCAUGGUUCUAAAGUGAAAGAUGGUUUUGCUAUCACUUAUAGAUGGACCCGCGCCGUAUUAGCUAGUUGGUAAGGUAACGGCUUACCAAGGCAACGAUACGUAGCCGACCUGAGAGGGUGAUCGGCCACACUGGAACUGAGACACGGUCCAGACUCCUACGGGAGGCAGCAGUAGGGAAUCUUCCGCAAUGGGCGAAAGCCUGACGGAGCAACGCCGCGUGAGUGAUGAAGGGUUUCGGCUCGUAAAACUCUGUUAUUAGGGAAGAACAAAUGUGUAAGUAACUGUGCACGUCUUGACGGUACCUAAUCAGAAAGCCACGGCUAACUACGUG